rnacentral:rRNA from 1 species
CGUCUAUAUACGUAUAGCAUAUCAAUAAGCGGAGGAAAAGAAACUAACUAGGAUUCCCUCAGUAACGGCGAGUGAAGCGGGAAGAGCUCAAAUUUGAAAUCUUCAAGGUUCUACCUUGACGAAUUGUAGUUUAAAGAAGUGUUUUCUGUUGGAGUUUUGGUAAAAGUUCUUUGGAAUAGGACAUCAUAGAGGGUGAGAAUCCCGUAUUUGACCAUUAUUUCCAACUUUGUGAUACACUUUCAAAGAGUCGGAUUGUUUGGGAAUGCAGUCCAAAAUGGGUGGUAAAUUUCAUCUAAAGCUAAAUACUGGCGAGAGACCGAUAGCGAACAAGUACCGUGAGGGAAAGAUGAAAAGAACUUUGAAAAGAGAGUUAAACAGUACGUGAAAUUGUCAAAAGGGAAGCGUUUGACACCAGUGUUGUUUUCUCGAAAAUCAAUUAAAAAUGGUGGGAUUCUGUGUUGUAUUGACUUUAUCAGCUUUCUGCACUCUUUUUCCUAUCUUUUUUAAUGCACUUUUCGUUUAACAAGUCAACAUCAAUUUCUUUUGUUGUAAAAGAGUCAUUGGAAGGUGGCUUUCUUUUCGGAGAAAGUGUUUAUAGCCUUUGGCUUCUGCAAUCGGAGAGAUUGAGGUCUGCAGCGUAGAUCCUUCGGGGUUAGAUGCAUUUGUGCUAAGUUAUAGCCUUUCAUAGACAACUUGUUGACUAUGAUCAGUCAUGUAGCUUACUCGCUUAUGCUAUUUUACCUACGCUUAGGAUGUUGAAGAUAUGCGCGACACG